rfam:Spinacia oleracea cultivar SynViroflay scaffold28202.con0002.1, whole genome shotgun sequence.
AGACCAUGGUGAGGGCACUCCCAUUGCAAAUCUUUGAAUCUUUCCCAAACCUCAUGUAAGCUCUUUUCGGUCUGUUGGGAAAUAGAAAUAAUUUGGUCCCUCAGACG